GGAUUGUAGUCUGCAACCCGACUACAUGAAGCUGGAAUCGCUAGUAAUCGCGGAUCAGAAUGCCGCGGUGAAUACGUUCCCGGGUCUUGUACACACCGCCCGUCACACCAUGGGGGUCGGAAAUGCCCGAAGUCAGUGGCCCAACCGGAAGGAGGGAGCUGCCGAAGGCAGGUCCGGUGACUGGGGUGAAGUCGUAACAAGGUAGC
rnacentral:rRNA from 1 species